AUUUAUAUAGUUUAUACUUAAAACAUUACAUUUUCAUUGUAAAAUAAAAAUAAUUUUUUUAUAAAUU
rnacentral:tRNA from 1 species